AGAGUUUGAUCAUGGCUCAGGACGAACGCUGGCGGCGUGCUUAACACAUGCAAGUCAUGGGGGCUUGGGGGCAACUCUGAGUAACCGGCGAACGGGUGCGUAACACGUGAGCGACCUGCCUUCUUGCGGGGGAUAGCCGGCCCAACGGCCGGGUAAUACCGCAUACGCGCCUCUUGGGGCAUCUCGAGGGGACGGAAACCGGGCAACCGGGCGGGGAGAGGGGCUCGCGGCCUAUCAGCUAGUUGGUGGGGUAACGGCUCACCAAGGCGACGACGGGUAGCUGGUCUGAGAGGAUGGCCAGCCACAUUGGGACUGAGAAACGGCCCAGACUCCUACGGGAGGCAGCAGUGGGGAAUCUUGCGCAAUGGUCUCACGACUGACGCAGCGACGCCGCGUGUGGGAGGACGCCCUUCGGGGUGUAAACCACUGUUGCCCGGGACGAACCGCUGGUUUCGACCAGCCUGACGGUACCGGGUGAGGAAGCACCGGCUAACUCCGUGCCAGCAGCCGCGGUAAUACGGAGGGUGCGAGCGUUGUCCGGAAUCACUGGGCGUAAAGGGCGCGUAGGCGGCGCGAGAAGCGUGCGGUGAAAGCCCGGGGCUCAACCCCGGGGUCGGCCGUGCGAACUCUCGGGCUUGAGCACUGUAGGGGCAGGCGGAAUUCCGGGUGUAGCGGUGGAAUGCGUAGAGAUCCGGAAGAACACCGGUGGCGAAGGCGGCCUGCUGGGCAGUGGCUGACGCUGAGGCGCGACAGCGUGGGGGGCAAACAGGAUUAGAUACCCUAGUAGUCC
rnacentral:rRNA from 1 species